rnacentral:ncRNA from 1 species
GGCGAGAUGAAGUGGACGUGGGUGUCGAUGGCACCGGCUGUGACUAUCUUCCCGUUGCCCGCGAUGAUCUCGGUCUCGGGGCCGAUGACGAGGGCGGGGUCCACCCCGUCCAUGGUGUCGGGGUUGCCGGCCUUGCCGAUG